rnacentral:tRNA from 1 species
CGGGGUGUGGCGCAGCCCGGCUAGCGCAUCUGGUUUGGGACCAGAGGGUCGUAGGUUCGAAUCCUAUCACCCCGAC